rnacentral:lncRNA from 1 species
CGAGAGAGUCCACAGGCAUGAUUUGACAGGAUAAUGCCCUCACUUGAUAAAAGGAGAGACUCUCUGUCAGCUGCCCGCAUCCUCCCUGAAGCUCUGGAAUCUGACUUCAUGGAGCAUUUGAGCAGCUAAGCUUUUCCUGACCCCCUCCCUCCCACCACCACUCCCGCCUUCCCCCAGUUGCUGAGCAUAAUUGAGAAUUAAUUGCAUGUCUGCUUAUUAUUUUGCUUACUUAAUUUGGUCUAAACGUUGUUCACACUCCAGACUUAAGGCCUGGAAGUGGCUGUCUUCAGGACCUGAUCUCUCCAAGACAGGCGCUCCAGUGGAUCUGAGUUAGAUCGGUGUAUAGAUCAGAGUUCCUAAGAAGCAAUGGACAAAGACCCAGAGUCUGUGCUGGGGGCCUUGGAAGGCUCUAAACCCUGAGCAGCAGUUUACAGAAGAGGCGAACAAUAUGGAUAUGGAGACAAUCUCUUAGGAGACUUGGGAGUGCUCUCCUGUAGGAUCCAAGACUUCUCAUCUUUCCGAUGCGAACUGAAUUAUGCUAGCAUGUCAACCAGGACAUUUCAGAGAAGCAUCGAAACGUGUUAGUAAACCUCUUACCAGAACACCCUCACUAUCGAUUUUUUUUUGUCACUAAAACACAAACCAGCAUGGGACAUUAAACAGGACCUUUGGUAUUUGGUGUUGGGAAAAUGCCCCCUUGGAUCUAGAGCUCUUUAGGAGUAAUGGCUUCCCGAAAAGAACUAUAGAGAAAAAGAAGGCAGAAUAACCCAGGUGCCUGAGCAUCUUUGAGGAGGUAAGGAAAACUCUUUACUCUUUGCUGUUUGUGAGCUCUGAAUCACCAAUUGUUUGCUAGUCAGGCUUCCCCAUUUGCCAGGAAGGAUCAAUAAUGUAAUUGGAAUGACCCUGCACUCAACUGUCCCUGCCUUCUGAUGCCCGCCUCCCCUCUCUGAUCAGAAGGCCUCCUCACUGGGGACACUGAAAGCUGAAUAGUUCAGGGACAGAGCGAGGCAUUACUGCAUUCCUGUCCAGUGAAAGGCAGACUCUCUGGAGAGCCUUUCCUCUGUUUUGUUUUGUGUGUUUUCAAGGAGUCUGGAGAGGGUGUUUAUGUCGUGGUGCACGUUCCCCAUUUGGCAUCUCGAUGGCGAAGCAGAGAGCUUUCUUGUUGUCCAUGUCCUCUGUGAUUUGAACUUGUGAUGAUUCUUCAGCUAGCUCUGUCCUUCAUCUAGAAAAUUAGUGUUGCAUUAUGAAGCCCAAAAGAGUUUUCCUAGCCACCACAUAGCAGUACGUAUAAUAACUUAAAUGUUCUACAGAAAAGGCAUUCCCCCAGCGUGGGUGAGUGGAAGAAUAGGCUCAUCAAGUUGUUCAGGCUUUGCAGAUUAGAGUUCCAGUUUCGUGAAAUCUCCCAUGGUUCAUACCUGGAAUCAGCUCCAAAACAUUUUCGAAAUUGGAACACUGAGCAUUCUCUAUGGGCUUGCAGUCAUUUCAAAAUAAUAUCCCUUAAUUAUGUGUCAUGGAUUGUUUGAUGAGUAUCUGCUGGGUUUGGCAUAUGUCAUUAGCCAUGAACAAUUGUACCUGGCUGUUUUUAAUUAUACCAGCUUUAUGCUUACAGUAGCCAUGGGAGGAAAACAAAAGAUUUUGCUGAGCGGGAGCAUUUUGCUUUUUAAAAAAUAUUUAUUUUGUUUUUGAUGCUCCUGCAGCCAAUCCACUCUUGCUAGGCAGUCCACUCUUCAGUUCAGUAUGGCCUUGAACUCAUGUCCCCCUGCCUUAGACUUUAGGGUGCUUGGGUCACACAUAUCUCCCUUUAAAGUUUUAUCUAUCUAUCUAUCUAUCUAUCUAUCUAUCUAUCUAUCUAUCUAUCUAUCUAUCUAUCUAUCUAUCUAUCUAUCUAUCAUACCUAUCUAUCUAUCUAUCUAUCUAUCUAUCUAUCUAUCUAUCCAACAUCUAUCUAUAUCUUAUCUAUCCCUAUCUACCUAUCUAUUUAUCUACCUAUUAUCUAUCAUCUAUCUACCUAUGCCCCCUCCUCCCCCUGAAAGAUUUUUUUCUUCUACAGCAGGCUAUGCUGCUCAGUCUAAUCCCCUACUUCUGCAUUUCCCCAUCCCUGGCUGCUGUUACUUUCUCCAUGAAAAAUUGUGAAAGGUCUAAGCCAAUUAAGAUCAUUUGAUUUCCUCGUCAGCAAUUGGUUCAAAGAUGUCCAUGUGACACAGUUCUACCCAAUGAGAUGUGAAAGAAGCUUGUCUGGCAUGUUUCUGGGAAUGGCUUCUUGGCUGAUGGAACUAGGUCCUUAGAAAAAUGAUCUCAGCCAGGCAGGCUGUGGUGGCACACUCCUCUAAUCUCACUGGGAGUGAGGGAGGUGGGAGAGGGGCAAGGGGCGAGGGGCAAGGGGCGAGGUGCAAGGGGCGAGGGGAGGAGAGGAUAGAGGGGAGAGGGGACAGGGGAGAGGGAGAGGGAGAGGGAGAGGGAGAGACUCUGCAUUUCCCACCCAAUAUCAAUCAGUACUGUCGAGGUCUAUGACAGUACUAACUGAGAGACUUAGCUUCUGAGAGGAACUAGUUGGUGACUACAGAGGGUACAGCUGAAAGAAGGACUCAACCGGGGUCUUUGGUCCUCCUUAG